rnacentral:tRNA from 1 species
GGGGCUGGGGCUCAGUGGUAGAGCGCUUGCCUAGCAUGCAGGAGGCCUUAGGUUCCAUCUCCAGCACCA